rnacentral:rRNA from 1 species
UACAGAGGUCUCAAGCGUUGUUCGGAUUCAUUGGGCGUAAAGGGUGCGUCGGUGGCGCUGUAAGUCAGGUGUGAAAUUUCGGAGCUCAACUCCGAAACUGCAUUUGAUACUGCGGUGCUUGAGGACUGGAGAGGAGACUGGAAUUCAUGGUGUAGCAGUGAAAUGCGUAGAGAUCAUGAGGAAGACCAGUGGCGAAGGCGGGUCUCUGGACAGUUCCUGACACUGAGGCACGAAGGCCAGGGGAGCAAACGGG